AUCCAGCUGACGAGUUCCAAACAGGACGAAACGCGCAUCCUGGAU
rnacentral:hammerhead_ribozyme from 1 species